UCGAGGAUAUUUAGCAAUGGACGAAAGUCUGACUAUGCGACGCCGCGUGAGGGAUGAAGGUUUUCGGAUCGUAAACCUCUUUCGAUCGGGAAGAAAAUCCACAGGGUAAUACCCUGUGGCCUGACGGUACCGAGAGAAGAAGCCACGGCCAACUCCGUGCCAGCAGCCGCGGUAAUACGGGGGUGGCGAGCGUUACUCGGAUUUAUUGGGUGUAAAGGGCAGGUAGGCGGCUUGACAAGUGGGAGGUGAAAUACCUCGACUCAAUCGAGGAACUGCCUUCCAUACUAUCAAGCUUGAGUCCAGAAGAGGAGAAUGGAAUUCCCGGUGUAAGGGUGAAAUCUGUAGAUAUCGGGAGGAACACCAGAGGCGAAGGCGAUUCUCUGGUCUGGUUCUGACGCUGAACUGCGAAAGCUAGGGGAGCAAACA
rnacentral:rRNA from 1 species